AUGAAUGAGGGUGAAUUCAGAAAAAUGGUGAAGCAUGAGAAAAAUGAUGAAGUGAAGAAUCCCUUGGAAUCUGGUUUAGAAAUUGGUUGUAAAACUCAGGCUAUUGACUCAGUUGGUGGUUUAACUGAAGCUAGCACGGUUUGCCAAUUGUUUCACUUGUAUAGUGAGUUGUUUAUUAUGAUGCGCAUAAUUGUAAAGGUGCACUUCGGGUAA